rnacentral:rRNA from 1 species
GGGGAAUUUUGGUCAAUGGGCGCAAGCCUGAUCCAGCAAUGCCGCGUGCAGGAUGAAGGCCUUCCGGUUGUAAACUGCUUUUGUACGGCACGAAAAGCCUCCCUCUAAUACAGGGGGGUGAUGACGGUAUCGUCAGAAUAAGCACCGGCUCACUACGUGCCAGCAGCCGCGGUAAUACGUAGGGUGCAAGCGUUAAUCGGAAUUACUGGGCGUAAAGCGUGCGCAGGCGGUUUUGUAAGACAGUGGUGAAAUCCCCGGGCUCAACCUGGGAACUGCCAUUGUGACUGCAAGGCUGGAGUGCGGCAGAGGGGGAUGGAAUUCCGCGUGUAGCAGUGAAAUGCGUAGAUAUGAGGAGGAACACCGAUGGCGCAGGCAAGCCCCUGAGCCUGCGCUGACGCUCAUGCACGAAAGCGUGGGGAGCAAACA